UGCCCCAGUAACGGCGAGUGAAGCGGCAACAGCUCAAAUUUGAAAUCUGGCCCCUCGGGGUCCGAGUUGUAAUUUGUAGAGGAUGCUUUUGGUGAGGUGCCGCCCGAGUUCCCUGGAACGGGACGCCACAGAGGGUGAGAGCCCCGUCUGGCUGGCCACCGAGCCUCUGUAAAGCUCCUUCGACGAGUCGAGUAGUUUGGGAAUGCUGCUCAAAAUGGGAGGUAUAUGUCUUCUAAAGCUAAAUAUUGGCCAGAGACCGAUAGCGCACAAGUAGAGUGAUCGAAAGAUGAAAAGCACCUUGAAAAGAGGGUUAAAUAGUACGUGAAAUUGUUGAAAGGGAAGCGCUUGUGACCAGACUUGGGCGCGGCGGAUCAUCCGGGGUUCUCUCCGGUGCACUUCGCCGCGUCUAGGCCAGCAUCAGUUCGUCGCGGGGGAAAAAGGCUUCGGGAACGUGGCUCCUCCGGGAGUGUUAUAGCCCGUUGCAUAAUACCCUGCGGUGGACUGAGGACCGCGCAUCUGCAAGGAUGCUGGCGUAAUGGUCACCAGCGACCCGUCUUGAAACACGGACCAAGGAGUCGUCUUCGUAUGCGAGUGUUCGGGUGUCAAACCCCUACGCGUAAUGAAAGUGAACGCAGGUGAGAGCUUCGGCGCAUCA
rnacentral:rRNA from 1 species